UGGGGGCACUUGUGGAUACAGACAUGGGGACAGUUGGAGACAAUGGGACACAGACAUUUGGGGACACUGGGAGACUUGGGGACACUGAGACAUUUGGGGACACUGGGAGAUUUGGGGACACAGAGAUAUUGGAACACAGACACUGGGAGACAUGGGGACAUUGGGAGACAUGGAGACACUGAGACACUAGGGACAAUGGCUGG